rnacentral:lncRNA from 1 species
AUGAAUUCUUUUAAGCCACAAGGUUUAUUCUUAGCCAAUCAUUUUGAUAAUAUUUUUAUUUUCUCCUCUUUUUCAUUCACGCGGUCGUCCCUCUGAGUUUCCUUUUUUAUUCUCCUAUUUAAUUGAAAUUGAAGCUUCUUCUAAUCAAGAACCCUAAAUCCCUCUGUAUUCUGCUUCUCCCAUACGUUUCAUCUUCGCACAAUAUCUCUCUCCUCAACCUUUUCCCUAUCUUAUUUUGCAAAUCACAAAACUAGGCGUCUAAAGCAAGGAUUGAAAGCAUCGAUUGAAGGCAACACACGAGGCAAUUCUCAUAUAUCUCUGAUUCAUCCUAAAUCGUUACCCUCUGAACUGGAUCU